GAGGUUGUAGUUCAGUGGUAGAGUGCUCACAUCGUAUGUGGAAGGCACUGGGUUCAAUCCUCAGCACCACA
rnacentral:tRNA from 1 species